AUGCUCGCUUCAGCAGCUUGUAUACUAAAAUUGGAACAAUACAGAGAUUAGCAUGGCCCCUGCACAAGGAUGACAUGCAAAUUCAUGAAGUGUUCCAUAUUUUU